rnacentral:rRNA from 1 species
UCAUGCAAUCAAAUCAACAUUAGCACACGCAAUCUCAACAGAUCUUGGAAGCUAAUCAGGUUUUAAGCCUGGUUAUUACUUGGAUGGGUGGCCAACAGGGCUUGCCAGGUGUUGCAGGCA